rnacentral:rRNA from 1 species
UACGUAGGGGGCAAGCGUUGUCCGGAUUUAUUGGGCGUAAAGAGCGUGUAGGCGGCCUUACAGGUCAGCUGUGAAAACUCGAGGCUCAACCUCGAGACGUCGGUUGAAACCGUAAGGCUAGAGUCCGGAAGAGGAGAGUGGAAUUCCCGGUGUAGCGGUGAAUGCGCAGAUAUCGGGAGGAACACCAAUGGCGAAGGCAGCUCGCUGGGACGUUACUGACGCUGAGACGCGAAAGCGUGGGGAGCAAACAGG